UACGUAGGGGGCAAGCGUUGUCCGGAAUCAUUGGGCGUAAAGCGCGUGUAGGCGGCUCGGUAAGUCCGCUCUGAAAGUCCAGGGCUCAACCCUGGGAUGCGGGUGGAUACUGCCGGGCUCGAGUCCGGAAGAGGCGAGUGGAAUUCCCGGUGUAGCGGUGAAAUGCGUAGAUAUCUGGAGGAACACCGGUGGCGAAGGCGGCAUCCUGGACCGGCAUUGACGCUGAGGCGCGAAAGCUAGGGGAGCAAACGGG
rnacentral:rRNA from 1 species